rnacentral:rRNA from 1 species
AUUGAACGCUGGCGGCAGGCCUAACACAUGCAAGUCGAACGAGUCGCGCACGGGAGAGUAAUGUCUGGGAAAUUCCUCGAUGGAGGGGAUAAACUUCUGGAACCGUUGGCUAAUCCCCCAUACCAUCGGUUUGCCCCAGAUGUGAUUAGCUAGUGGGUGGGGUAACGGCUAACCUAGGCGACGACCCCUAUCUGGUCUGAGAGGAUGACCAGCCACACUGGAACGGAGAAACGGGCCAGACUCCUACGGGAGGCAGCAGUGGGGAAUAUUGCACAAUGGGCGAAAGCCUGAUGCAGCCAUGCCGCGUGUAUGAAGAAGGCCUUCGGGUUGUAAAGUACGUUCAGCGAGGAGGCGGUAAUCGCAGAAGAAGUACCGGCUAACUCCGUGCCAGCAGCCGCGGUAAUAC